rnacentral:rRNA from 1 species
AUUGAACGCUAGCGGGAUGCUUUACACAUGCAAGUCGAACGGCAGCGCGGACUUCGGUCUGGCGGCGAGUGGCGAACGGGUUAGUAAUGUAUCGGAACGUGCCCAGUAGCGGGGGAUAACUACGCGAAAGCGUAGCUAAUACCGCAUACGCCCUACGGGGGAAAGCAGGGGAUCGUAAGACCUUGCACUAUUGGAGCGGCCGAUAUCGGAUUAGCUAGUUGGUGAGGUAACGGCUCACCAAGGCGACGAUCCGUAGCUGGUUUGAGAGGACGACCAGCCACACUGGGACUGAGACACGGCCCAGACUCCUACGGGAGGCAGCAGUGGGGAAUUUUGGACAAUGGGGGCAACCCUGAUCCAGCCAUCCCGCGUGUGCGAUGAAGGCCUUCGGGUUGUAAAGCACUUUUGGCAGGAAAGAAACGUCGCGGGCUAAUACCCCGUGGAACUGACGGUACCUGCAGAAUAAGCACCGGCUAACUACGUG